UUAUCUUUUGACGAAAAGGCAUUCUUUUUC
rnacentral:piRNA from 1 species